rnacentral:tRNA from 7 species
GCGUCCGUAGCUCAGUUGGAUAGAGCGCGCCCCUCCGGAGGGUGAGGUCGGAGGUUCGACUCCUCUCGGACGCACCA